rnacentral:rRNA from 1 species
GGAUAGCCUUUCGAAAGAAAGAUUAAUACCCGAUGGUAUAAUUAGACCGCAUGGUCUUGUUAUUAAAGAAUUUCGGUUAUCGAUGGGGAUGCGUUCCAUUAGGCAGUUGGUGAGGUAACGGCUCACCAAACCUUCGAUGGAUAGGGGUUCUGAGAGGAAGGUCCCCCACAUUGGAACUGAGACACGGUCCAAACUCCUACGGGAGGCAGCAGUGAGGAAUAUUGGUCAAUGGGCGCAGGCCUGAACCAGCCAAGUAGCGUGAAGGAUGACUGCCCUAUGGGUUGUAAACUUCUUUUAUAUGGGAAUAAAGUUUUCCACGUGUGGAAUUUUGUAUGUACCAUAUGAAUAAGGAUCGGCUAACUCCGUGCCAGCAGCCGCGGUAAUACGGAGGAUCCGAGCGUUAUCCGGAUUUAUUGGGUUUAAAGGGAGCGUAGGUGGACAGUUAAGUCAGUUGUGAAAGUUUGCGGCUCAACCGUAAAAUUGCAGUUGAUACUGGCUGUCUUGAGUACAGUAGAGGUGGGCGGAAUUCGUGGUGUAGCGGUGAAAUGCUUAGAUAUCACGAAGAACUCCGAUUGCGAAGGCAGCUCACUGGACUGCAACUGACACUGAUGCUCGAAAGUGUGGGUAUCAAACAGGAUUAGAUACCCUGGUAGUCCACACAGUAAACGAUGAAUACUCGCUGUUUGCGAUAUACAGUAAGCGGCCAAG